rnacentral:rRNA from 1 species
GCCGGCGAGUGGCGAACGGGUGAGUAAUACAUCGGAACGUACCUUAGUGUGGGGGAUAGCUUGGCGAAAGCCAAAUUAAUACCGCAUACGCUCUAAGGGGAAGCAGGGGACCUUCGGGCCUUGCGCACUAAGAUCGGCCGAUGUCAGAUUAGGUAGUUGGUAGGGUAAGAGCCUACCAAGCCUGCGAUCUGUAGCUGGUUUGAGAGGAUGAUCAGCCACACUGGGACUGAGACACGGCCCAG